rnacentral:rRNA from 1 species
AACAGGGAUUGCCUCAGUAGCGGCGAGUGAAGCGGCAAAAGCUCAAAUUUGAAAUCUGGCGUCUUUGGCGUCCGAGUUGUAAUUUGAAGAAGGUAUCUUUGGGCCCGGCUCUUGUCUAUGUUCCUUGGAACAGGACGUCACAGAGGGUGAGAAUCCCGUGCGAUGAGAUGACCCGGGUCUGUGUAAAGUUCCUUCGACGAGUCGAGUUGUUUGGGAAUGCAGCUCUAAGUGGGUGGUAAAUUCCAUCUAAAGCUAAAUAUUGGCGAGAGACCGAUAGCGAACAAGUACAGUGAUGGAAAGAUGAAAAGAACUUUGAAAAGAGAGUGAAAAAGUACGUGAAAUUGUUGAAAGGGAAGGGCUUGAGAUCAGACUUGGUAUUUUGCAUGCUGCUCUCUCGGGGGCGGCCGCUGCGGUUUACCGGGCCAGCAUCGGUUUGGAGCGGCAGGAUAAUGGCGGAGGAAUGUGGCACGGCUUCUGCUGUGUGUUAUAGCCUCUGACGAUACUGCCAGCCUAGACCGAGGACUGCGGUUUUUAACCUAGGAUGUUGGCAUAAUGAUCUUAAGUCGCCCGUCUUGAAACACGGACCAAGGAGUCUAACGUCUAUGCGAGUGUUUGGGUGUAAAACCCGUACGCGUAAUGAAAGUGAACGAAGGUGGGGGCCCAUUAGGGUGCACCAUCGACCGAUCCUGAUGUGUUCGGAUGGAUUUGAGUAAGAGCAUAGCUGUUGGGACCCGAAAGAUGGUGAACUAUGCCUGAAUAGGGUGAAGCCAGAGGAAACUCUGGUGGAGGCUCGUAGCGGUUCUGACGUGCAAAUCGAUCGUCGAAUUUGGGUAUA